rnacentral:rRNA from 1 species
GACGUAGGGCGCGAGCGUUGUCCGGAUUUAUUGGGCGUAAAGAGCUCGUAGGCGGCUUGUCGCGUCGACUGUGAAAUCCCGCGGCUCAACUGCGGGUCUGCAGUCGAUACGGGCAGGCUAGAGUUCGGUAGGGGAGACUGGAAUUCCUGGUGUAGCGGUGAAAUGCGCAGAUAUCAGGAGGAACACCGGUGGCGAAGGCGGGUCUCUGGGCCGAAACUGACGCU